CUACGGUUCAUGUUCCGGACGGUCUAUCGAAGAGAUAUCUGCCAUUAUGACCAAAUGAAGUUGGACACGCAAAGAUCCUGUCAGUCUGUCUGUCAAACAGCUGAACUCCGUGCGGAUGGGACUAGGUUUACACUCGAUGGCUCAUGCAGGGCAAGAGAACCUGGCUGCAGUGCUGUCUUUGGGGAGAGCCUUAGCACCCACAGAUACCGGGGCAGAGCGACCCACCCUUUGGGUUUGGAAGAAACCUGACAGGAGGUAAAAAAUUAGAGGGAACAUUGCUCCAGACCCCAGUCUCGGAGCCUCAUGUCACCUCGCCGCCGCUGGGCCAGCUGGAGAAUUCCCAGCUCCAAGGUCGGACGGAAACAUUGGGAUCACC